UUUAUGGUGGUGGUGGGAAGGUCACUCUAGUUGCUGUGUGUGGACUAGGUUGUAGUUGUGGGGAGGAAUGGGAGCGGGAAGGGCAGUUGGAGGCUUCUGCAGUGGUUAAGGUGAGAGAUGACGGUGGCUUGGACCAGUGUAGUUAUCAGUGGCAUGAUGGCAAUAAAUAGAUGGGGUCACGAGUUUUUCUGGAGGCUCUGGAAUUUGGUGGCCAGGUCUUAUGUGUACAGAGAGAAUCCGCCCAUGGAUUCAGUGUGGGCAAGAAUGGAGUGAGGGAAACUGAGGAUGGCUCCUAGGUGUUUUAUGGGUUUUAGGUUUUGGCUACCCUCAAAUCUAGAAAAAUUUGGCAAUUUCGGCUCACAUAAUAUAUCAGCCUUUUUCUGCCUUGAGGAUUUUCUCAUUAGCUAUGUCUCUCCAUGAGCCUCUCAUCUUUUCUAUGCUCUGGGCUUUCUCUUCUUAUGUUCUCUGUUUUGUGGGCUGAAUAUUUUUGAGCAGGGAUGGCAUUAUUUAGAGCUUUUUAUUGGUAGCCUACUGAGUGCUCAAACCUGUGCUAGUCCCUAUAGGGAAUAUGGAAAGACUUCUUGGAGCCAUUAUUAUGCUAGUGUCCAUUGUGAUGCUCCUGGCAAGGGCAUUCUCCUAUUCCUAUGACCACAGAGCUUCCCCUUCCCCUUUGCCCUGAAGAUUCUCUCAUGGGACUAGUGUUUCAUUGAAUAACAUGUUGGUUAUGUGUAGCAUGCUGGUUACGUGUAGCAUGCUGGUUAUGUGUAGCAUGCUGGUUAUGUGUGGCAUGCUGGUUACGUGUAGUGUGCUGGUUACGCGUAGCAUCCUGGUUAUGUGAGGCAUGCUGGUUAGGAGCUCUAGGCUCAGGAUCUUGAUUCUGCCCUCUUUGGUUGCAUGAGCUGUGCAAGCUGCUUAACAUCUUUCAGGCUAACUUUCUAUAUUUGUAAAAUGGGAAACAGACUUCUUAGGAAGAUUUUAAGAGAUGUCUUACAGGACCUGGCAGAUAUAUGCUCAAUAAAAAGUAAACUAGCUGGUGUUGCUGCUGUUGCUCUUACUGUUGUUUUUAUUGACUUGAAUAAAGGAAUCUUGCACCUGUCAAAAUGAAACACUACAUAGUAGGUCCUGAUAUUUUGCCAUACUCAGCUGGUGAUAAGAAUCAGAGAAGCCAGCCAUUUGAAUAACUAUGAUUUAUUGAAUUCUUACCAUGUUCUAAGUUCUUUAUGUAUACUGUUUCGUUUAAUCUUCACAACAAUUCUAGGAGUCAGGUUCAAUUGUUAUUGCCAUUUGAUAGAUGAUGAGGGCAAUGAGUCUUAGAGAGGUUAAAUAAUUUGCUAAAGGCCACACAGCCUGUAAAGUGGCAGAAGCUGGGACCAUCCAACUCUAAAGCCCACAUUCUUAGACAUUAGGGGAUAUUGAAUGAAGUGUGUGUAUGUAUGGGGGAAUUUAAGAGAAUAUCAAACCAUUUGUAGAGUUCUACCCAAUAUAGAGACCUUAUCUAAUGUAAGAGAACUCUGAAGACAUCUCAUUGAUUGAAUGCUCUCCCCUUCAUAGCAACUUCUUCUGCGGCUUCCUUGCCUGGUGCUCCAGUCUUUGAGGGAAGCACGGCUGGCACGUUCUUCCGUUUGGAGACAUGGUUGACAAUUUCUCCAUAAUGGGGACACAACUGGCAAUUUUCCUACAGAGUGAGGCAGAUGGCAAUUUUCCUUCAGAGACAUGCAGGCAACAGUUUUGCCCCUGGAGAGAAAAGCCUCGCCGAUUGAGAUGCAGCCAGUAAUUUUUACUAUACAGAAGACACAUCCAAUAAUUUUGCCCAGUGAGAGAAACGGCCAACAAUUUUCCCACAGAGGACAGGAAAAACAGACCAAAAAUUCAUAGUGGGGAGAAGUGAGGAGCAAAUGGGCUGGUAUGACCAAGAAAGACUUAAUAAGAAGCUGAGCCUUAAAUGAUCAAGAAGCACUGGAUAGAUAAGAGGAAUAAUCAUUUAUUAGCCAAGCGGGACUGGUGCCUUUUUGAGAACUGUCAUUCUGGAAAGAUAUUGAUUGAAGGAGGCCUCUGAGCACAUUCUCUCCAGCAGGCAGCCGUAAGGGAGGCGGCUGCAGUCCAGACAAGAUGAUGAGUUGGCAGUGAGCAUCUCGACAGGAGCCUAAUGAAGAAAUCUGGUAACAGCGAGGGCUGGCUUUAUGAGCGCUCAUAUUUGGUCUUUCACUCUCUGCAAGGUUGGUGAGUGGCAAAAGUGUCCAUGGGCCUCUACCUCCCACUGUGGAAUUACACAUUCCUACAGCCAGUGGGCUCCGGGAACCCAAUGGCAGCAUCCCCAGGCCCCUGGGCCCACUCCACACAUCACAGGCUAGAGACUUCUUGUCUGCCUCCUUUCUCACGUCUCUCCCCCUGAGAUAGCAUGCUCUCCCCUCCCUCCUUCCCUCUCAUAAUUUGUUCCCAACAGGUAGCUUUGUGCAGUUACUCCAAGAGAAGCCCGAACUCCCUGGGGAGCCUCUGCCCAGGUGGAAGAGCUCUCGAGUGGCUAUUAUUAGGGGUGAUUGCUGGGAAGCUGGUUGCCAUGGCACCGCAGAGGCCAGUGCUGAACUCCCAAGCUGCCCCGUUUCCAAGGCUGUCUACAUAAUCACUGCAAUGAGAGGCACAGGCACAGAAAGGGAGAGAGGAGCAGCUCCCCACUGACAGUGAUCUCCCUGCAGAGCAAGGUUCCUGGAGUUUGCAAACAUCGAGUAGUGAUAGUCUUCCAUCUGCCAGGCACUGCGCUAAACUCUUUAUGGAGACAAAGAAAUGAUGCUCAGAGAGUCAUUUGCCCUUGGUCACAGGCUAAGAAGAGGCAGAGCUAGGACGUAAACCCAACUCUGGCUCUAUGGCAUCUCAUAUAGCAUCAUUUUUCCUCCAGUCCUCUGACUAGAAAGGGUGGCCCCUUCAACCUGGUGCUGAGAACAGACACUGGCGGCCCCACACCUCUGAAGGCAUGGUUCCAGCAAAUAGAAAUUGGACUGGCAAGGAUUAAACCGCUGGUUUGGGCUUCAUUAGCUAUGUGAUCUCACCAACCACAGAGAAUUAACCAGAGUGGAGCCAUCUCUUUACAGACUUAACACAAUGUACCGAGGCAAUGUGGAGAACAGUCACUGAAUUUAUUGAGCACCUACUACCUGCUCCAGACAUGCCAUUAACACGUGGGCUAUCCUUCCCUUCCACAGUCACUCUAGAACUUGAGGCCACUGUCCUCUGAUGCAGAGAGAAGAAACAUUUUAUAAUCACUGUAGACAAUAAAGGCUUUAUCUGUUAGCAAGCACUUUUGCUUAAUGACUUGGUCAUGGGGAAGGAGAGACAGGUUGUACUUGGUCCUCAUUUUGCACUUGGUUAGAGAGUAAGAGGCCUUUCCAUCUCCACUGCUGCUCAGGUACUUCCUCCCAGUGUACUCUAGCACUCCCCCAGCAGGUUCUGUAGAAACACAGACCCCAAGGCCUGGGCAGACUCUACCAGAAAAAUACUUGUGUUCCUCUGUGCUCUGCCUAGUACAUGGCUUCCCUGGCUACCUCUCCUACAGGCCUGGGGAGGCAAAGAUGGGAAGUGUUUGUAGGUAUUAUCUACUGACAACAUUCAACUUUAGACCUCGGUUCAAGCCCCCUCUACCUUUGCCUAGAUCUUUGACUUUGUGUAAACAACAUGCUUUUUCUGGGCCCAAUUUUCUCAUCUGUAACUCCAAGUUUAUGAAUUGUUUUGAUAAUAAAAUACUAAAAAAUAUUGAGUGUUUGCUGUGGACCAGACAUUUCAUUGAAUCUGCACAACAAUCCAGU
rnacentral:lncRNA from 1 species